UGAACGCUGGCGGCGUGCCUAAUACAUGCAAGUCGCGCGAACGGACGAGAAGCUUGCUUCUCUGAUGUUAGCGGCGGACGGGUGAGUAACACGUGGAUAACCUACCUAUAAGACUGGGAUAACUUCGGGAAACCGGAGCUAAUACCGGAUGAUAUUUUGAACCGCAUGGUUCAAAAGUGAAAGACGGUCUUGCUGUCACUUAUAGAUGGAUCCGCGCUGCAUUAGCUAGUUGGUAAGGUAACGGCUUACCAAGGCAACGAUGCAUAGCCGACCUGAGAGGGUGAUCGGCCACACUGGAACUGAGACACGGUCCAGACUCCUACGGGAGGCAGCAGUAGGGAAUCUUCCGCAAUGGGCGAAAGCCUGACGGAGCAACGCCGCGUGAGUGAUGAAGGUCUUCGGAUCGUAAAACUCUGUUAUUAGGGAAGAACAUAUGUGUAAGUAACUGUGCACAUCUUGACGGUACCUAAUCAGAAAGCCACGGCUAACUACGUG
rnacentral:rRNA from 1 species